rnacentral:rRNA from 1 species
CACGUGGGUGAUCUGCCCUGCACUUCGGGAUAAGCCUGGGAAACUGGGUCUAAUACCGGAUAUGACUUCAGGUUGCAUGACUUGGGGUGGAAAGAUUUAUCGGUGCAGGAUGGGCCCGCGGCCUAUCAGCUUGUUGGUGGGGUAAUGGCCUACCAAGGCGACGACGGGUAGCCGACCUGAGAGGGUGACCGGCCACACUGGGACUGAGACACGGCCCAGACUCCUACGGGAGGCAGCAGUGGGGAAUAUUGCACAAUGGGCGAAAGCCUGAUGCAGCGACGCCGCGUGAGGGAUGACGGCCUUCGGGUUGUAAACCUCUUUCAGCAGGGACGAAGCGCAAGUGACGGUACCUGCAGAAGAAGCACCGGCUAACUACGUG